AUUGAAAUGAUGAUAACUUCACACCACUGUCUUAUGAUAAAUAUAAUGAUAUUUACUUUUACAUGCACUACCAUCUGAUCCAAU